rnacentral:rRNA from 1 species
GGGGAAUAUUGCGCAAUGGGCGGAAGCCUGACGCAGCAACGCCACGUGGGGGAUGACGGCCUUCGGGUUGUAAACCUCUUUCGACAGGGACGAAGGGUGACUGACGGUACCUGUAGAAGAAGCACCGGCUAACUACGUGCCAGCAGCCGCGGUAAUACGUAGGUGCGAGCGUUGUCCGGAUUUAUUGGGCGUAAAGAGCUCGUAGGCGGUUUGUCGCGUCUAUCGUGAAAACCAGGAGCUUAACUUCUGGCUUGCGGUGGAUACGGGCAGACUUGAGUUCGGUAGGGGAGACUGGAAUUCCUGGUGUAGCGGUGAAAUGCGCGGAUAUCAGGAGGAACACCGGUGGCGAAGGCGGGUCUCUGGGCCGAUACUGACGCUGAGGAGCGAAAGCGUGGGGAGCGAACAGGAUUAGAUACCCUGGUAGUCCACGCCGUAAACGUUGGGCGCUAGGUUGUGGGGACCGGUUCCACGGUUUCUGUGCCGUAGCUAACGCAUUAAGCGCCCCGCCUGGGGAGUACGGCCGUCAAGGCUAAAACUCAAAGGAAUUGACGGGGGCCCGCACAAGCGGCGGAGCAUGUGGAUUAAUUCGAUGCAACGCGAAGAACCUUACCUGGGUUUGACAU